rnacentral:rRNA from 1 species
GACGAACGCUGGCGGCGUGCUUAACACAUGCAAGUCGAACGGAAAGGCCCUGCUUUUGUGGGGUGCUCGAGUGGCGAACGGGUGAGUAACACGUGAGUAACCUGCCCUUGACUUUGGGAUAACUUCAGGAAACUGGGGCUAUUACCGGCUAGGAGCUCCUGCUGCAUGGUGGGGGUUGGAAAGUUUCGGCGGUUGGGGAUGGACUCGCGGCUCAUCAGCUUGUUGGUGGGGUAGUGGCUUACCAAGGCUUUGACGGGUAGCCGGCCUGAGAGGGUGACCGGCCACAUUGGGACUGAGAUACGGCCCAGACUCCUACGGGAGGCAGCAGUGGGGAAUAUUGCACAAUGGGCGGAAGCCUGAUGCAGCAACGCCGCGUGCGGGAUGACGGCCUUCGGGGUGUGGACCGCUUUCGCGUGUGACGAAGCGUGAGUGACGGUAAUGGGUAAAGAAGCACCGGCUAACUACGUG